rnacentral:rRNA from 1 species
UGGGGAAUCUUGGACAAUGGGCGCAAGCCUGAUCCAGCCAUGCCGCGUGAGUGACGAAGGUCUUCGGAUUGUAAAGCUCUUUUGGCGGGGACGAUAAUGACGGUACCCGCAGAAUAAGCCCCGGCUAACUUCGUGCCAGCAGCCGCGGUAAUACGAAGGGGGCUAGCGUUGUUCGGAAUUACUGGGCGUAAAGCGCACGUAGGCGGAUCUAUAAGUCAGGGGUGAAAUCCCGGGGCUCAACCUCGGAACUGCCUUCAAAACUGGCGACCUGGACCUAAGUAGAGGCAAGUGGAAUUGCGAGUGUAGAGGUGAAAUUCGUAGAUAUUCGCAGGAACACCAGUGGCGAAGGCGACUUGCUGGACUUAUGGUGACGCUGAGACGCGAAAGCGUGGGGAGCAAACAGGAUUAGAUACCCCAGUAGUCCCUGAGCGGGCUGGCAAGGCGCAU